rnacentral:rRNA from 1 species
AGGAGACGCUGGCGGCGUGGAUUAGGCAUGCAAGUCGAACGGUAGGAUACCUUCGGGUAUCUGAGAGUGGCGAACGGGUGAGUAACACGUAGGUGAUCUACCCUCAAGAUUGGGACAACCCAGGGAAACUUGGGCUAAUACCGGAUGAAAGCAGCAGUGAUGUUGUUUGAAAGGUGGCGUAAGCUGCCGUUUGGGGAUGAGCCUGCGCUCUAUUAGUUAGUUGGCGGGGUAAAGGCCCACCAAGGCGAUGAUAGAUAGGCGGCCUUAACGGGUGGUCGCCCACACUGGGAUUGAGAUACGGCCCAGACUCCUACGGGAGGCAGCAGUCGAGAAUAGUCUACAAUGGCCGAAAGGCUGAUAGUGCGACGCCGCGUGAACGAAGAAGCCCUUCGGGGUGUAAAGUUCUUUUAUAUGUGAGCAGUGCUUUCUAUGUGAACAGCAUGGGGAGAGAGAUAUUAGCAUAUGAAUAAGCAACGGCUAACUCCGUG